rnacentral:rRNA from 1 species
GGCUUAGCUGUCUCCUUUUUCUAGCCAAUGAAAUUGAUCUUUCCGUGCAGAAGCGGGAAUGACAACAUAAGACGAGAAGACCCUAUGGAGCUUUAGACACUAAGACAGAUCACGUCAAACACCCCAGCUUAAUGGGCCGAACUAAGUGAGCCCUGUCCUAAUGUCUUUGGUUGGGGCGACCCUGGGGAGACAAAUAACCCCCAUGUGGAGUGGAAACACCAUAUUUCCAGAACUAAGAGCUAACCGCUCUAAGGAACAGAAUUUCUGACCAUUUUAGAUCCGGCUACUGCCGAUCAGCGGACCGAGUUA